GGCUCGGGAAAGAUCUUGGAUAGUUUAGGAUGUUUUUCGAUCUCUUUCCAAUUUUCGCGGAUUAGGUGAGAUAAGUUGUCAAAUUUUGGAUGGUAAGUCAACACAAAAGGCGCCCUCUUGUUGCACUUAAUUGUUCACAAACAAAUGUGUUUUAAGCUGCUAAAGACAUAUGAUUCAAACGCUCAGAAAGUCCUUUGUUCUAUAUUUUUG
rnacentral:lncRNA from 1 species